rnacentral:pre_miRNA from 1 species
CUUAUACUCCCUCCGUCCGGAAAUACUUGUCAUUGAAAUGGAUAUAUCUAGAUGUAUUUUAGUUCUAGACACAUCCAUUUUGAUGACAAGUAAUUCCGGACGGAGGGAGUACUUG